AACGAACGCUGGCGGCAUGCCUAACACAUGCAAGUCGAACGAAGCCUUCGGGCUUAGUGGCGCAUGGGUGCGUAACGCGUGGGAAUCUGCCCUUGGGUUCGGAAUAACAGUUAGAAAUGACUGCUAAUACCGAAUGAUGUCUUCGGACCAAAGAUUUAUCGCCCAAGGAUGAGCCCGCGUCGGAUUAGCUAGUUGGUGAGGUAAAGGCUCACCAAGGCGACGAUCCGUAGCUGGUCUGAGAGGAUGAUCAGCCACACUGGGACUGAGAUACGGCCCAGACUCCUACGGGAGGCAGCAGUGGGGAAUAUUGGACAAUGGGGGGCAACCCUGAUCCAGCAAUGCCGCGUGAGUGAUGAAGGCCUUAGGGUUGUAAAGCUCUUUUGCCAGGGAAGAUGAUGACUGUACCUGGAGAAUAAGCCCCGGCUAACUUCGUGCCAGCAGCCGCGGUAAU
rnacentral:rRNA from 1 species